rnacentral:lncRNA from 1 species
UGCAGGUAUUUUUGCUUUCCUUUAUGAAUGCUUAUAAUUCAGCAUCGGUCACAUCUCUGAAUCUUUUAUGGUCUGUUGAUGUAUUGGUUGCUUUUUUUUUGUUACAUUUUUUGUGCGAUAUCUUCAACAAAUGAUAAAUAUGGCUAGAUAUCUUCAACUUGAUUUUCUGAGUGUACAUUAUCGUCUGGUUGUUUUUGUGUAAUUUUAUUGGAUGGGAUGUUUACCGGGAGAUGUUUUUACCGGUCAAUUGAUCUAGGUUUUGAAAUUCCCAGUAAUUACAACAUGGGCUAUCCAUUUCACUUAAGAGUUCUUUUUCUGAUUCCCAUAUUGCAUCAUCAUCAGUUUGACUUUGACUUUCAUUUGGUGAAUUUCCCCCGAAUUGACGUAAAAAUGUCUAUUUCAUUGGUCUUCAAAAGCCUUAUCUUUGUCCGUAGCCAUUUGGUAUGUUUGUUUUGUUUUGUUUUGUUUUAGCAGACGAAAUAAGUACUUUAGACUUGUCAGAAUGGUUGUUGUAUUGUUGUAGAUAUUUUUUGUUAUUUUAUUAUUAAAAUGAAACGUUUAAUCUAGAGUAUAUAC